UACAGAGGGGGCAAGCGUUGUUCGGAAUUACUGGGCGUAAAGGGCGCGUAGGCGGCCUGCUAAGUCGAACGUGAAAUCCCCAGGCUCAACCUGGGAACUGCGUCUGAUACUGGAUGGCUUGAAUUCGGGAGAGGGAUGCAGAAUUCCAGGUGUAGCGGUGAAAUGCGUAGAUAUCUGGAGGAAUACCGGUGGCGAAGGCGGCAUCCUGGACCGACAUUGACGCUGAGGAGCGAAAGCUAGGGGAGCAAACGGG
rnacentral:rRNA from 1 species